UACAGAGGGGGCAAGCGUUAUUCGGAAUUAUUGGGCGUAAAGGGCGCGUAGGCGGCUUGGCAAGUGGAUGGUGAAAUCCCUCGGCUUAACCGAGGAACUGCCGUCCAAACUGCUUCGCUUGAGACCGGGAGAGGUGAGUGGAAUUCCCAGUGUAGCGGUGAAAUGCGUAGAUAUUGGGAGGAACACCAGUGGCGAAGGCGGCUCACUGGACCGGUACUGACGCUGAGGAGCGAAAGCGUGGGAGCGAACAGG
rnacentral:rRNA from 1 species